rnacentral:rRNA from 1 species
UACGUAGGGUGCGAGCGUUAAUCGGAAUUACUGGGCGUAAAGCGCGCGCAGGCGGUUCGUUAAGUCUGGUGUGAAAGCUCCCGGCUCAACUGGGAGAGGUCAUCGGAUACUGGCGGACUCGAGGGAUGCAGAGGAAGGUGGAAUUCCCGGUGUAGUGGUGAAAUGCGUAGAGAUCGGGAGGAACACCAGUGGCGAAGGCGGCCUUCUGGGCAUUUCCUGACGCUGAGGCGCGAAAGCGUGGGGAGCGAACCGG